rnacentral:rRNA from 1 species
AUUCUUGGUCAUUUAGAGGAAGUAAAAGUCGUAACAAGGUUUCCGUAGGUGAACCUGCGGAAGGAUCAUUAGUGAUUAAUUAUUGAGUGUAGAAAACUCAUAAUCUUCUAUACAAACCACUGUUUUAAAAUGUUUACUAGAAUGUCCAAGCAGUUAAGCUGUUGAAAUAUUAAAAGUUUAAUAAAACUUUCAGCAACGGAUCUCUUGGUUCAGGCAUCGAUGAAGAACGCAGCGAAAUGCGAUAAGUAAUGUGAAUUGCAGAUACAGUGAAUCAUCGAAUCUUUGAACGCAAAUGGCACUCUAUGGUAUUCCGUAGAGUACGUCUGUUUGAGCGUCGCGAACAUCUCCAUAAUUAGUUUUUUUUUAAAUUGAUUGUGGGUUUUGAGGUUGUCAUAUAAACAAUGACUCCCUUUAAAAUAAUUAGUGAUGACCUUAUGAAUGGGUUAAUACUGUGUGUUAUAAUGGAUUACAUCCAUCACCAGUCAGAGAGUAAUCUCGCCUUAGUAAUUUGUAGUGAUUGCUUCUAACUGCCAUUGGCAAACAAACUGAUCAAAUCGACCUCAAAUCAGAUGGGAUUACCCGCUGAACUUAAGCAUAUCAAUAAGCGGAGGAAA